rnacentral:rRNA from 1 species
ACUCCUGCGGGAGGCAGCAGUGGGGAAUUUUGGACAAUGGGCGAAAGCCUGAUCCAGCAAUGCCGCGUGUGUGAAGAAGGCCUUCGGGUUGUAAAGCACUUUUGUCCGGAAAGAAAUCCUUGGCUCUAAUACAGUCGGGGGAUGACGGUACCGGAAGAAUAAGCACCGGCUAACUACGUGCCAGCAGCCGCGGUAAUACGUAGGGUGCGAGCGUUAAUCGGAAUUACUGGGCGUAAAGCGUGCGCAGGCGGUUUGCUAAGACCGAUGUGAAAUCCCCGGGCUCAACCUGGGAACUGCAUUGGUGACUGGCAGGCUGGAGUAUGGCAGAGGGGGGUAGAAUUCCACGUGUAGCAGUGAAAUGCGUAGAGAUGUGGAGGAAUACCGAUGGCGAAGGCAGCCCCCUGGGCCAAUACUGACGCUCAUGCACGAAAGCGUGGGGAGCAAACAGGAUUAGAUACCCGAGUAGUCCCAUGAU